AUUGAACGCUGGCGGCAGGCCUAACACAUGCAAGUCGAACGAGUGGCGGACGGGUGAGUAAUGUCUGGGAAACUGCCUGACGGAGGGGGAUAACUAAUGUAAACGGUAGCUAAUACCGCUUACCUCCGGAUGUGUCCAGAUGGGUUCGCUAGCAGGUGGGGUAAUGGCUCACCUAGGCGACGAUCCCUAGCUGGUCUGAGAGGAUGACCAGCCACACUGGAACUGAGACACGGUCCAGACUCCUACGGGAGGCAGCAGUGGGGAAUAUUGCACAAUGGGCGCAAGCCUGAUGCAGCCAUGCCGCGUGUAUGAAGAAGGCCUUCGGGUUGUAAAGUACUUUCAGCGAGGAGGCGUUACUCGCAGAAGAAGCACCGGCUAACUCCGUGCCAGCAGCCGCGGUAAUUC
rnacentral:rRNA from 1 species